rnacentral:rRNA from 1 species
GACGAACGCUGGCGGCAUGCCUAAUACAUGCAAGUCGAGCGAACAGAUGAGGAGCUUGCUCCUCUGACGUUAGCGGCGGAUGGGUGAGUAACACGUGGGCAACCUGCCCUGCAGAUGGGGAUAACUCCGGGAAACCGGGGCUAAUACCGAAUAAUCAGUGAGUUCGCAUGAACGCACUCUGAAAGACGGUUUCGGCUGUCACUGCAGGAUGGGCCCGCGGCGCAUUAGCUAGUUGGUGGGAUAACGGCCUACCAAGGCGACGAUGCGUAGCCGACCUGAGAGGGUGAUCGGCCACACUGGGACUGAGACACGGCCCAGACUCCUACGGGAGGCAGCAGUAGGGAAUCUUCCACAAUGGACGAAAGUCUGAUGGAGCAAUGCCGCGUGAGUGAAGAAGGUUUCGGAUCGUAAAACUCUGUUGUGAGGGAAGAACAAGUACAGGAGUAACUGCCUGUGCCUUGACGGUACCUCAUUAGAAAGCCACGGCUAACUACGUGCCAGCCGCCGCCGUAACAC